rnacentral:rRNA from 1 species
AUUGAACGCUGGCGGCAGGCUUAACACAUGCAAGUCGAGCGGAGCGAGGGUGCUUGCACCUUAGCUUAGCGGCGGACGGGUGAGUAAUGCUUAGGAAUCUGCCUAUUAGUGGGGGACAACAUUCCGAAAGGGAUGCUAAUACCGCAUACGCCCUACGGGGGAAAGCAGGGGAUCUUCGGACCUUGCGCUAAUAGAUGAGCCUAAGUCGGAUUAGCUAGUUGGUGGGGUAAAGGCCUACCAAGGCGACGAUCUGUAGCGGGUCUGAGAGGAUGAUCCGCCACACUGGGACUGAGACACGGCCCAGACUCCUACGGGAGGCAGCAGUGGGGAAUAUUGGACAAUGGGGGGAACCCUGAUCCAGCCAUGCCGCGUGUGUGAAGAAGGCCUUUUGGUUGUAAAGCACUUUAAGCGAGGAGGAGGCGCUCUAGGCUAAUACCCUAGAUGCGUGGACGUUACUCGCAGAAUAAGCACCGGCUAACUCUGUGCCAGCCGCCGCCGUAAGAC